CUUCCAAUUCUUUAGUCAAACCAAAUCGUGCGCCCCCACCCGCUAACCCUAGGCGGUCGGCGCUGCCGCCGCCGCCAGCCCCAGCCAGGCCACGCCACCGCCGCUAGCCGCAUCUAGGCCGCUCUGCCAGCCGCCGUAGUUACCUACUCCUUCUCCUAAUCUCCUUGCGCCCGCUCCUCUGUCCUCCUUCUACCACACACAGGCACGGCCGCACCACCGGGCCUUCCUCGCAACGACGCGGCCAGCGGCUGCCGUCAGCCUCGUGCACGCGACCCCCGCCGGGCGGCCGGAACUCGUCCACCCAUCCACACGCCAUGGAGACCGGCGUAGCAGACAUCCAGGAGGCGCAGCAGUCCGACACCGGCAAGCUUCCUCGCGCAGGUCCCGUGGAUGGCGUCGACGGGAAUAGUUCUCACCGGACGACAUGGUUGUCAAAGUGCACUUCUUCAUCCUCACGCCUCCAACCACCUUCAAAAGGGCAGAUGCCAGGGCGUGGUCGUGGUCGCGGUGGCUACAAGGUCGGGCGUGGUCGUGGCCGUGGCUCCACUACAAAACGUCCGGCUGCUCCUACAAGGAGGGCAUUUGCUCCGCCAACGAAAAUGGCAAAAAUUUGUGAUACAAGUAGCAAUGGCCAAAGCCAAGAGGAUGGUCCCAUCGAGUCCGUCGAUGAAGAUGGAAAUACAAUUUAUGUUUCCGAUGGAGAAGAAGAUGAUGCCAAAGAGAUGGAGAUUCAACCUUCUACGCGCAAGCUUACGUCUAAGGUUUGGUUGGAAAUGGAGAAGGUGAGGAUCAAUGGAGAAUGGAAGGCCAAAUGUUAUUGGUGUCAUAGGAUACUCACCACAGGAUCGAGGAGUGGAACUAAGCAUCUUGGGGUACAUCUUAAGAUUUGCACUCAAAAGAAGUUGAAGACCAAGCGUGGCAAAACUUUGAGUCGGUCCUCAUUGAAGGUGAGUGCCAAUGAUGGUGGGAAAGUGAGCAUGGAGAGCUACGCUUUUGAUCAAGAGUAUGCUAGAGCGGAGCUUGGGAACAUGUUGGUCUUUCGUGAUUAUCCUUUGUCUAUGGUGGACCAUAUUGGUUUUAGGAGAUUUGUUGCUGGACUUCAGCCAUGAUUCAAGUUGCAUACAAGAAAUACUAUUAGAACUGACAUUGAGGAAAGGUAUAAAAUAGAAAGGAAGAAGGCCAUCGAGUACAUGACUAUGGUCCAAUCAAGGGUUGCAGUGACCAUCGAUAUGUGGACUUCCGUAGCCAAAAGAAGGGGUAUAUGGCAAUUACAGCCCAUUUUAUCGAUGAGUCUUGGAGGCUAAGGAACAUUCUCAUGAGGUUUAUUUAUGUGCCAACACCACAUAAUGCAGAAGUUAUAGCUGAGAACCUCCUUGAGUCGUUGGUCAAAUGGAAUCUAGAUGAAAAGCUCUUGACCGUGAUAGUUGAAAUUGCAAUGUCAACGUCAAGGCAAUUGAGGUGAUUAUGAGCAAGAUAGGAAAAAGUAAGCUUCUUUGUGAAGGUACUCUACUUCACAUGUGUUGUUGUGCCCAUAUUUUGAAUUUGGUAGUGAAGGAUGGAUUAGAUGCCAUGAAAUCAGCUAUAGAAAACAUCCGUGAAAGUGUUGCAUAUUGGACUGCCUCACCCAAAAGGAUAGAGACAUUUGAGGAUAUGGCGAAGUAUAACAAAGUAAAAAUAACAAGGAAGUUGAGACUUGAUUGCAAGACUAGGUGGAACUCUACUUUCAUAAUGCUUGACAUAGCUUUACCUUAUAGACUUGUGUUUGAACGUUUAAAAGAAAAGGACAAGCAAUAUGAGUGGCUACCUAGUUCGGAAGAAUGGGCUUUCGCUACCGAUGUUGUAGAGAGACUUAGAUUGUUCUAUGAAGUAACUGAGCUAUUUUCAGGAACUGGUUAUGUGACUGCCAAUGUUUACUUUCCUAAGAUAUGUGAAAUUAAAAUGAAAAUGAGGCAGUGGGAAACUUCUAGCAACGAAAUUGUUCAAAACAUGACAAAAAGCAUGGCUGUAAAAUUUGAUAAGUAUUGGAGCGACAUCCAAGGUCUAAUGGCUAUAGCUACACUUCUUGAUCCUCGGUACACAAAGCAAAUGUUGGUAGCUUGCUUUGCCAUGUUGCAUGGUAUUGAGCCAUCUUGUUAUGAAUGUACUGCAAAAGUUGAUGACAUAGUUGCUAGUCUGCAUUCAUUGUUAGACCACUAGAAGUGGAAAGUGAGGCAUACAAACCAGAUGAAGAAUCUAUAUUGUCUACAAUGAAAGCUCCUGCAAUCAUGAGUGUGUUCCAGAACAGUGUAGCUCAGCAAAUGCCUGCAACUGCUAGACUUCAAGGUGAAAUAGAGCAAUACUUGAAUGAUGGUUUAGUGCCUUACACUGAAAAGUUUAAUGUGUUGGAUUGGUGGAAGGUGGCUGGUACAAGGUAUGCAACCUUAAGGAAAGUUGCAAGAGACAUAUUUGGUAUUCCUGUUACAAUUGUUGCUUCAGAAUCAGCCUUUAGUACAGGUGGUAGAAAGCUCAAAGAGCAUAGAAGCCGAUUGACAUCUGAUAUGGUCGAGGUUUUAAUGUGCUCACAAGAUUGGCUUAGAAACAAGUACAAAGAUGCUUACACAGGAGAAGCUAGCUUCUGGACUUGCCUUCAAGACAUUCAAGAAGGGAUACAGGAUUUGGCGGUUUGAGGUGCGAAGGCUCAUGAAGAGAGUACAAGAUGAAAUCUACUCAAGUUGGUUUGGUGUCAUGUUGGAGAGGCUCAAGUGGCUACAAUAACUAUGUGUCCAACUUAUUUGUGUGUUGAACCUACUUUUGUGUUGAGGUUAAACUUAUUUGUGUCUUGAACCAACUUGUGUGUUGAACUUAUGUGGCUGAAAUGACUUGUGUGUGUGCUGAAAUGCUGGAAUUUACGUUGAAAUGCUGAAAUGGGAUAUGUAUAUGUGUUGAAAUCCUGAAAUGCUGAAAUAGAUGUCCUAAAAUGAUGUGUAUAUGUGCUGAAA